rnacentral:rRNA from 1 species
GAUAAACGCUGGCGGCGCACAUAAGACAUGCAAGUCGAACGAACUUAAUACCUUGCUUGCAAGGUAAGCGGUUAGUGGCGGACUGGUGAGUAACACGUAAGAAAUCUGCCUAUCAGAGGGGAAUAACAGUGAGAAAUCAUUGCUAAUACCGCAUAUGCUAUAGGAAUCGCAUGAUUCUAGUAGGAAAGGAGCAAUCCGCUGAUAGAUGAGCUUGCGUCUGAUUAGCUAGUUGGUGGGGUAAAGGCCUACCAAGGCAACGAUCAGUAGCCGGACUGAGAGGUUGAACGGCCACAUUGGGACUGAGAUACGGCCCAG